CCUACGGGAGGCAGCAGUAGGGAAUAUUGCUCAAUGGGGGAAACCCUGAAGCAGCAACGCCGCGUGGAGGAUGAAGGUUUUCGGAUUGUAAACCCCUUUUGUUAGAGAAGAUAAUGACGGUAUCUAACGAAUAAGGACCGGCUAACUCCGGGCCCGCAGCCGCGGUAAUACGGAGGGAGCAAGCGUUACUCGGAGUUACUGGGCGUAAAGGGCGCGUAGGCGGGAUAGCAAGUCAGAUGGGAAAACCUAUGGCUUAACCAUAGAACUGCAUUUGAAACUGUUAUUCUAGAGUAUGGGAGAGGUAGGUGGAAUUCUUGGUGUAGCGGUAAAAUCCGUAGAGAUCAAGAGGAAUACUCAUUGCGAAGGCGACCUGCUAGAACAUAACUGACGCUGAUGCGCGAAAGCGUGGGGAGCAAACAGGAUUAGAUACCCGGGUAGUC
rnacentral:rRNA from 1 species